ensembl:antisense Gm11706 predicted gene 11706
AGGGAUAAAAAGAGUUCUGCAGCCAACUGCUGGGUGUGUGUUCAGGCUCGCUCUACCACAGGAGAACCAACUGUCAGCGUAUAGGGCUGAGCGGGCCAUCUGCUUGCUUGAAGCAUCCAUCCCUUGCCUUCUACCAGCUUUCCAAAGACAAAUGGAGCAACCACCACCACCACCAAAAGCCUCUGGAAUGCGACCUUUGUGCCCAGAGGCUGCCUGCUGGCUGGCAUCGAGGACGUCAGAGGCUCUUACUCAGAGACGCCUUGCUUGACUUCAGGCGACCAUCUCCUUUUGGACUUGGAGCUGCAGUUUUUCUGGA